rnacentral:rRNA from 1 species
CCCUUAGAUGUUCUGGGCCGCACGCGCGCUACACUGAUGCAUUCAACGAGUUUCUUCCUGGCCCGAGAGGAAUGGGUAACCUUUUGAAAGUGCAUCGUGAUAGGGAUAGACUAUUGCAAUUAUUGGUCUUCAACGAGGGAUUCCUAGUAGACGUAGUUCAUCAGACUGCAUCGAUUACGUCCCUGCCCUUUGUACACACCGCCCGUCGCUCCUACCGAUUGAAUGCUCAGGUGAGCCAUUCGGACCUUCAUCAUGCCGGUUUCCGGUUUUGAUGAGGGAAAGUCUUGCGAACCUUAUCAUUUAGAGGAAGGAGAAGUCGUAACA